CAUUGUGGAUCAGUGGUAACAAACCUGACUAGUAACCAUCAGGAUGAAGAUUCAAUCCCUGGCCCUGCUUGGUGGGUGGGUUAAGGAUCCAGUGUUGUAGUGAGCUGUGGUGUAGGUCACAGACAAAGCUUGGAUCUGACAUUGCUGUGGCUGUGGUGUAGGACAGUGGCUACAACUCUGAUUCAGCCCCUAGCCUGGGAACUUCCAUAUGCCAUGUGUGGAAUAUGGAAAAAAAAAAGGGAGAGAAAGAAAAAAAAUGAUAAAAAAAAGAAUGUAUUUACAGACUAAAAGCACACUCAAAUAUUUCAAAACCAAACUUACGGUUACCAAAAGGGAAUUUUUUUUAGGAGGAGGGAUAAAUUAUAAAUUAGGUUUGGAUUAAUAUAUAUUACUUAAUAUAAAAUAGAUAAGCAACCUGGAUCUACUGGAUAGCACAAGGAAUUCUAUUCAAUACUCUAAUAACCUAUAUGGGAAAAGAAUUUGAAAAAGAGUGGAUAUAUACAUAUCUGUAUAACAGAUUCACUUUGCUGUACACCUGAAACUAACACAGCAUUGUUAAGUCAAUACAACUUACAUUAGGAGUUCCCAUCAUGACUCAGUGGUUAACGAAUACAACUAGGAACCAUGAGGUCAUGGGUUUGAUCCCUGGCCUUGCUCAGUGGGUUAAGGAUCCGGCAUUGCCAUGAGCUGUGAUAUAGGUUGCAAAUGUGGCUCGGAUACUGUGUUUCUGUGGCUCUGGCCUAGGCUGGUGGCUAUAGCUCCAAUUAGACCCCUAGCCUGGGAACCUCCAUAUGCCAUGGGAGUGGCCCUAGAAAAGGCAAAAAGACUAAAUAAAUAAAUAAAUAAAACAAACUUAAAAAAGGGGAAAAAAAGGAAUAUCUUGGUCUGCAGUAUACUUCAAAAAAAAAAGUUUCACUAAGAUCAAUGAGAGUAUUUCAGCCAAAGCCACCUGUUCAAAGAGUCCCAGAGCUUGCUGGAAUAAGCCCACAUUAGUGCCCUCAACAUACCUAGGCUUGGGCUGUGGGCAGCCUGAGGGCACUGUCCCCUCAGCCAAAAAACAAGAGUAAAUGCCAAACGAGAGCAUGGUCCCUGCUGUGAGCUGUCUAAAUAGCACAUUUUCAUGUCCUUCAUAAUUAAUUUUUCUCUUGACUAUAAUAUCCAUUUUCUGCUUAUGUCUAGUAAUUUUUAUUGAAUCCUGAACAUUAUGAAUGAAUUUUACAUUCUUGAAGACUGGAUUUUUUUAUUUUUCAUUCUUUUCAGGAGUGUUGAAAUCAUUGGCAGAUGGUUCGGUUCCAUUUAGGUUCUUUUUCUGUGUAUCUCCAUAAUCUCAAAUUCUGUAUUCCAUGAAUUCUAACCACCUCGCUCCCCCCAUACCAAUCUCUGUCUAUGCAAUUUAUGAGAUUACCAGACUGUAUUUGGGUUCUUCCCUUCUGCUCCACAGUCUAGAAAUCACUUCAAGUUAUAAGACCUGAGUAGUCAUUGAGUUCACUUCAUUUGUUUCCCUUUUCUCAGUCCUAUGCUUCUGGUGUUCAGUUCCAGAAAGACUUGUUUCUUGCAUUUUUGUCCAGUUUUUUAAUUGUCUGUAGCAGGAGACUGAUUCUAUACCAUCUUACUCCCUCAUGAUGAGAUCAGAUGUUUUGAGUUUCUCAAAAAUUUAAAAGCAGUAUUACAUUUUUAAUGUUAGGUAAACAUGUGCUUGGCUUUAUCAUUCAAAUUAUUUUAUCUGAAUGAAUGUUAUUUCUUCCCUAGCACAGGGACCACUGACCUUCUGUUCCCUGGCUCUCCAUACUUUCUGUGUGUUUUUCCAUAUCACCCAGUUAGGAUUAUAGGGCAGACAUCUAUACAAAUGUACACUCAAUGAAGGGUAGCCCCAAAAGUGGAACUGGGGAAAUUAGAGCAGAGAAGAGCGGAAUAAAUUAAAACGUGUUUAUUGAACCAUAAUUCUAAGUUCUCUAAACAUUUUCAAGAUUCCCUAGUAUUGUAGAUCCCAUGUAAUGCACACAUAGUGAGUUUGAAAGAGUUAAACACAAAUCAAACCACAGUGAAAUAGAAAAUGAAUAGUAUUUAACCUUAGCUACUGAAAGCAGUGCAGAAAUUGAUAAUAUCAGACAGGAAGUAAACAUCAUGUAUGGAUCUUUUUAAAAUGCAAGGGGAGAUUUCUGAUAGCAUCUGCAUUAGAGGUAUGCUGUUUCCUACCAAAAGGAAUGGGUUUUUGAAAACUCUCCCUCUGUAACAGCACAGAGAAGAAGGCACUUACAAGUUUUUGCAGCAGGCAUAUUUUCAGAAUUUGAAGAUAGUAAAACCAUUAACAACGACAAGGAUAUGUAUAAAAGCAAGUCAAAACUAGAAAGAGCUCCAGUGAGACUACAAAUUCCUCAUAUCAGCAAAUGUUUUAUUCAUUUUGUGUAUCUUUUAAAUGUCCCACACAAAUUGAGACUCCAGUAUAUACUGAUUGAAUUAAACUGCCUUAACUUGGUUUUUUGGGAUUUUUUGUUUUUUUAUUUUCAAUGACAAAGUUUCAUAUUUAGGUGAAGAACUAGAAGAACUGAUGGAAAUACACUUUGGACUAUAAAUUUCCAGCAACAGGAGUGAAACAGAUGGAAAAAUAAUAGCACUAGCUUGUCACAAUGGCUGACUUCCUCUUUUUCUCCAAAAAGACAGAAAGAACUGCCAUAGAAUUUCCUAAAGGAGAUAUUGUGUUCCCAGAAUUUCAAAAGACAAUUGAAAGGUUUCUUCCCCUACUGUGAAAAAUCACUGGAAAAUCUGAAAAAUAUAACUGGGAAAGAAUAUUCCAAAAAGAGGGACAAUUUACAAAAUAUCAGAUUAGAAAAUGUCAAUAUAUCAAAAUUAAAAGCCACUAUUUCAUUUAUGCCAUUUUAUUUUGGAAUACUAUCAUUUGAAAACUUAUUUUUCAAUAUUAAACUGAAAAAAGAGGGGAUUAAGAUGGCAGAAUAGAAGGACUAGAGCUCAACUUCUCUCCUAAAAACAACAAAAUUUACGAACAAAUGCUGAGCAAUCUUCAACCAAAUGGACAGGAAACUUUCAAAAAGAUAUCCUACUCCAGAAGACAAAGAGGAGGUCACAUCAAGUGGCAGGAGGGGCUAUUAUGUGAUAUAAGCAACCCCAUACCUCCCUUUCCACAGACUGGAAAGUAGCUGUAUCACAGAGACUCACCUACAGGAGUGAGACUUCUGAUCCCCGCAAUAAACCCCCAUACAUGGAGAUCUGGCAGUGGGAGAAAGAGCCCCCAGAGUAUCUGGCAUUGAAGGCUGGUGGGCCUUGUGUGCAUGAGCUCCACAGGACUGGGGAAAGUGGAGACCCCAUUCUUAGAAGGCACACACAGACUUUUACAUGCACUGGGUCCCAGGGCAAAGCAAGGUCUCUGUGGGAAUCUGGGUUGGACCUGACUGCCAUUCUCGGAGGACCUCCUGGGAAAGCAGGGGUGAAUGUGGCUUGUUGUGGGGGAAGGACAUUGGAAGCAAAGCUCUUGGGAAUAUUUAGCAGCCUGCCUUUCUCUGGAGGUGGCCAUUUUGGCAAAAUCUGGCCCCACCCAUUAGAGCUGAGAAGUCCCAGACCAAACAACAAUCCAGGUGGGAUCACAGCCCCUCCCAUCAGUUCACAGGCUGCCUAAAGACUCCCCCAGGCAAACAGCUGCCUCUAAUCCCAUCCAGAAACAAAGUCCUCCCACCAGAGGGAUAGGAAUUGGCUCCACCUACCAGUGGGCAGGCAUCAGUCCCUCCCAUCAGGAAGCCUACAGCAAGCCCCUGUACCAACUUCAGCCACAAGAGGGGGCAGACGCAAGAAGUAGGAGAGGCUACAACUCUAUUAUCUGUAAAAAGGUCACCACACCAAAAACCUAUAAAAAUGAAAAGACAGAGAACUAUAACUCAGAUAAGGGAGAAAGAAAAACUCCCAGAAAAACAGCUACAUGAUCAGGAGAUUCUCAGCCUCCAGGAAAGAAUUUAGACUGUUGAUGCUGAAGAUGAUGCAAGACAUUGGAAAUAAACUGGAGGCAAAGAUGGAUAACUUACAGGAAACACUGAGCGAAGAGAUACAAGAUAUAAACUUAACAAGAAGAGAUGCAAAAUACAAUAACUGAAAUAAAAAAUUCAUUAGAAGCAGCCAACAGCAGAAUACAGGAGGUAGAAGAAAGAAUAGGCACAGUGGAGGACAGAUUAGUGGAAAUCAUGGAUGCAGAACAGAAAAGAGAAAAAAGAUUGAAAACAAAUGAAGAAAGUCUCAGAGAACUCUGGGACAACAUUAAAUGCACCAACAUCUGUAUUAUGGGGUGCCAGAAGGAGAAGAGAGAGAGAAGGGGACAGAAAAAAUAUUCCAUGAGAUAAUAGCUGAAAACUUUCCUAACAUGAAAAAGGAACCACUCACUCAAAUCUAGGAAGCACAACGAGUACC
rnacentral:lncRNA from 1 species